rnacentral:rRNA from 1 species
GUGUCAGCAGCCGCGGUAAGACGGAGGAGGCGAGCGUUGUUCGGAAUUAUUGGGCGUAAAGGGCGCGUAGGCGGAUCGGCAUGUCUGGCGUGAAAUCUCCACCGCUUAACGGGGAGAGGUCGCUGGAAACUACCGAUCUGGAGUUUGGCAGAGGGUCAUGGAAUUCCAGGUGUAGCGGUGGAAUGCGUAGAUAUCUGGAAGAACACCGGUGGCGAAGGCGGUGACCUGGGCCAAAACUGACGCUGAGGCGCGAAAGCCAGGGGAGCAAACGGGAUUAGAUACCCCGGUAGUCCUGGCCGUAAACGUUGGAUACUAGGUGUGGGGGGUAUCGACCCCUCCUGUGCCGAAGUUAACACAUUAAGUAUCCCGCCUGGGGAGUACGGCCGCAAGGUUGAA